AAGUCGAAAUCAUUGUAAUGCAUGAGGACUUGGAUCAUGGAGCAAUCGCGGAAUUCAUGAUUUAGCAUUCAUAAGUUUUUUAAUUAAUUAAUUAAUCGAGAUGAUGAUGUUGAACUGAAGGUAUUCAAAUCUAUGAUUAUCAUAACCCUGUCAUUUUGUACACCCAACUUUGAGAUGAAUCUUUGUUCCAAAAAUUAUAAUCAUAUAAAUAUUUUUGUCUAUAUAUUAGUCAGUUAAUUAUAAAUGGGAAAUUUAAAAUAGAUAAUAUAGUAUGACUUCUUUUAUUUAAUUUUUGUUGGAAGAAUGUUGCAGAUUACAUGAGUAUAGGUUUUUCUUAUAACUUAAUUCUUAGUUAGAGAUGGU
rnacentral:lncRNA from 1 species